rnacentral:rRNA from 1 species
GAUGUACGCUGGGCUACAGCUUAACACAUGCAAGUCGAGGGGAAACGACGGGGAAGCUUGCUUCCCCCGGGCGUCGACCGGCGCACGGGUGAGUAACGCGUAUCCAACCUGCCUCUGACUGAGGGAUAACCCGUCGAAAGUCGGCCUAAUACCUCAUGGUAUCGUCUGCGGGCAUCCAACGACGAUUAAAGAUUUCAUCGGUCAGGGAUGGGGAUGCGUCUGAUUAGCUUGUUGGCGGGGUAACGGCCCAUCAAGGCUACGAUCAGUAGGGGUUCUGAGAGGAAGGUCCCCCACAUUGGAACUGAGACACGGUCCAAACUCCUACGGGAGGCAGCAGUGAGGAAUAUUGGUCAAUGGGCGAGAGCCUGAACCAGCCAAGUAGCGUGCAGGAAGACGGCCCUAUGGGUUGUAAACUGCUUUUAUGCGGGGAUAAAGUGAGGGACGUGUCCCUCAUUGCAGGUACCGCAUGAAUAAGGACCGGCUAAUUCCGUGCCAGCAGCCGCGGUAAUACGGAAGGUCCUGGCGUUAUCCGGAUUUAUUGGGUUUAAAGGGAGCGUAGGCCGUGGAUUAAGCGUGUUGUGAAAUGCAGGUGCUCAACGUCUGCACUGCAGCGCGAACUGGUCCACUUGAGUGUGCGCAACGCAGGCGGAAUUCGUCGUGUAGCGGUGAAAUGCUUAGAUAUGACGAAGAACUCCGAUUGCGAAGGCAGCUUGCGGGAGCACAACUGACGCUGAAGCUCGAAAGUGCGGGCAUCGAACAGG